GACGAACCGUGCAAACGUUGUUCGGAAUCACUGGGCUUAAAGGGCGCGUAGGCGGGCAGCCAAGUCAGGGGUGAAAUCUUUCGGCUCAACCGGAAAAUUGCCUUUGAAACUGGCUGUCUCGAGGGAGGUAGGGGCAUGUGGAACUUCCGGUGGAGCGGUGAAGUGCGUUGAUAUCGGAAGGAACGCCGGUGGCGAAAGCGACGUGCUGGACCUCUUCUGACGCUGAGGCGCGAAAGCUAGGGGAGCGAACGGG
rnacentral:rRNA from 1 species